GGACUUCUCUCGCCUCGCCUGAGUGUUUGACUAUUGACUAUUGAUUGCAUACUUUUAGGCGCCAGGGGACUUAAUGCAGAAAAGAGAAGUCCACAUACCAAGGCCUAUAACCAAGGCCAUGAUGGGGACUUCUCUUCUCAUACACAACACACACACGUCUCGACGGACGCGCGCGCUCACCACCAUGAUGAUGAUGAGCGCGCGGCCGGAUGAUAACCACCGCACCGCACUCGCGCGCCGCCGCCACCACCAGCACACAACACACUUCGUGGGCCGUGGGGGGCGCGCAACCUCCAAGCAAGGGGUAGUCUGAGAGGAUCGAAAUGUACACCUCUCUGCAACUCGCAACUCCCAGCCUGUAAACCUAUCGUUUGUAGGAGGUCUCAGGUAUCGAAAUCAUAUAUUGAUGCUGAGCAGCGCCACCAGCGUUCCAGUAUCCCAGAUACUUGCUGUACGACGCCGCGCGCAAGGGCUUUGUCUGCGUGCAU